AUUGAACGCUGGCGGUAUGCUUAACACAUGCAAGUCGAACGGCAGCAUGGUCUAGCUUGCUAGACUGAUGGCGAGUGGCGGACGGGUGAGUAACGCGUAGGAAUAUGCCUUGAAGAGUGGGACAACUUGGGGAAACUCAAGCUAAUACCGCAUGUACUCGAGAGAGUAAAGCUGGGGACCUUUAGGCCUGGCGCUUUAAGAUUAGCCUGCGUAGGAUUAGCUAGUUGGUAGGGUAAAGGCCUACCAAGGCGACGAUCGGUAGCUGGUCUGAGAGGAUGAUCAGCCACACUGGAACUGAGAGACGGUCCAGACUCCUACGGGAGGCAGCAGUGGGGAAUAUUGGACAAUGGGGGGAACCCUGAUUCAGCAAUGCCGCGUGUGUGAAGAAGGCCUGAGGGUUGUAAAGCACUUUCAGUGGGGAGGAGGUUUGGAAGGUUAAGAGCUAUUCAAAUGGACGUUACCCACAGAAGAAGCACCGGCUAACUCCGUGCCAGCCGCCGCCGUAA
rnacentral:rRNA from 1 species